GAUGAACGCUGGCGGCGUGCCUAAUACAUGCAAGUCGAGCGAACAGACGAGGAGCUUGCUCCUCUGACGUUAGCGGCGGACGGGUGAGUAACACGUGGAUAACCUACCUAUAAGACUGGGAUAACUUCGGGAAACCGGAGCUAAUACCGGAUAAUAUAUUGAACCGCAUGGUUCAAUAGUGAAAGACGGUUUUGCUGUCACUUAUAGAUGGAUCCGCGCCGCAUUAGCUAGUUGGUAAGGUAACGGCUUACCAAGGCGACGAUGCGUAGCCGACCUGAGAGGGUGAUCGGCCACACUGGAACUGAGACACGGUCCAGGCUCCUACGGGAGGCAGCAGUAGGGAAUCUUCCGCAAUGGGCGAAAGCCUGACGGAGCAACGCCGCGUGAGUGAUGAAGGUCUUCGGAUCGUAAAACUCUGUUAUUAGGGAAGAACAAAUGUGUAAGUAACUAUGCACGUCUUGACGGUACCUAAUCAGAAAGCCACGGCUAACUACGUG
rnacentral:rRNA from 1 species